GCGGACGUGGUGGAACCUGGUAGACACGCUAGCUUGAGGGGCUAGUGGCCUCACGGUCGUGGGAGUUCGAGUCUCCCCGUCCGCA
rnacentral:tRNA from 1 species